GCAAGUUUUGUUUACCCGCCCGCUGUACCCAGCUUGCCUAAAAUCCCCGCCGGAGUUCCUGCCUGCUGCAGAGCGAUUGCAAUCCUGCCUCCCGGGCCCCGAGCAAUGCGCCUGCUGCUCUCAUGGCUCCCCAUCCUAAAAGCCUCGCCGGAGCUGCCGCCUUUCUCCUCGCAGGCGUCUGCAGCUGUCUGCCCAAAUGCUGUUCGCACCUCCCGCCGCUCGUGUGCAGCUGAUUCUCUGCCGCCACACCCGCAACAAGAAGUAGCAGAAGGACGCAAGGAAGAUGGAGAAGGCAAAUUAAACAAGCAGGCGCAGUGCCGACAGCAGCUGGCCGACGCCGAUGAACCUUUCAUGGUCAACUAAAGCGAUGUUCCCGUGGAGGAGAUCCAGUCGAUGGUCCUCUUCGGCCGCUCGUGGAUCAAUAUCGGCGACCUCGACGACAUCGCCGGGGGCGCUCCGUGCUUUCCGUGGGGCUAAGAUGGCUAUCCACCGGGUCAGCAAGAUGUAGAAGAUGAACUUCAUCGUGAUCAGUGACCUCGACGACAUCGCCGAGGCCCGCUCCGUGCUUAUAUGCGGGGCUACGAAGGCUAUAUCCAUCGGGUCGGCAAGAUGUCGAAGAUGAACUUGGUCAUGCUAUCACCCGUGCCGGCAUCAGCAUCACUGCAUCAGCACGCAGAUGGUUCGCUUCGGCAACGCUGUUAGCAAGGAGUCCAUCCAUCAACAUGUUGAGGACGUGGUUUCCCUCCAAAAGUGUAGUCCCUCAAGGCUACAACACAGCAGGAAGACGAACUAACAAGGGAUGGUCGUGUUGUUUGUGCAUACAUGCUGAGUUUAUUGUCAAGAUAAAUUAAGUUUAUUACUGAUGUCACCUAAUUCACACUUAGACUAUUCCGUCCGGAGUGAAGUGGAGUUUGACAAGGCUCAACAGGCAGUAUGCAUAUUCAGGGAACAACUCAUAUAUGAUUCUUACAUACUCUUUCUCUGCACAAGCCUUAAGGAAGCAGGGCAUUUAUCACAAUCAAAAGGCGUAUGUAGGAGCUCAAAACAAGCAUAUUGAUGUGCAACAAUUUAUUUUCAGAAGAAUUGUAUUUCCAGUGCUGCCUUCGUCAGGGAAAGAAGCUUGGCACUUCAAUAUUUGAAAGAAAAUAGUCAUAUGAAAGGUUUUGAAUUUAAUUUUCUGCCAUGGACCAUUCAGGAGAAAAUAUGGAUGAUUUCAUAAAGCAUAUCAGAUCAGCAGCUAACUGAAUAGGCUCCCUGCUGGCUGGCUGAUGCAUCGCUCCCUAGAGAUGUUGGUUGCUCAACACUUUCAGUUAUUCCUCAAGGAUGUACUUAAGCAAAAAGAUUUCCCAAAAGUGCUUCAUCCUCAUGACUUACCACACAUUCUAAUUUUCACUGAUUUCACUCUGCAACUCAGCUGUGACGUCUCACUAAUUUUCUUUCCUUCAUGGAGAAAAAUAAGUCAGAUGAACUAAACCCUUCAUCCAUUAUUCUUCUAAAAGGGAAGAUAAUUGUAGACACUCCUUACAUGUAUAUUUCUUCAACAGUGAUACCUCUCCUCUGAAUGGACAUGACAAGACAGAUUAUUAUCUCAUAAUUGAAUGAAAAAUAAAAAGCAUUUUUGUCAGCUUUGCACUAUCAACACGUCUUGUCCAUUGUUUGGUUUCUUUAAGAAGUUUCAGCACAAAUUGAACAAUGCCAGGAGAGUAAGCUAUCUAAAGCAGCACCAAGCAAGUACCAUAUUUUUCAUAUCUCCAUAUAUUAGGACUGAAAAUUUUCCAACAUGGAUGAAAGUAGGCAUGUACAAAAGCUUUCAUUGUUGCAAACGAUAAUAUGCUUUAGCUGUAAAAAUUCUUCAAGUAUAUGCAGCAAGAUAGUGCCAACACGAUCUACAGAGAAGACUGUCAUGAUUUGAGCACUUGAACUUCAGUCUGAACAAGGCUGGAAGACUAACAGCACAUCUUGCUACUGAGAAUAACAGCACCAAAUGGUAGCGAUGAUCAUUAUGAUUGAAGGCUGGAGAAAAACUUGAUUCUGCCAGAAAAGAUACCCGCUUGAACUACAAAGCUAUUGACCUAUGUACCUACAUCCGCAAAUCAAACAAUAUUCUGGAUCCUAUGUCAAUUCAUCGAGUUGACCAACACGUUUCCAGGCUGAGUGUUUCUUUUUCGUUCUCAUCUCAAACUCAAAACGUAUGUUGUGAUCUGUAAUUUUCCGAUCACUGAUACUGUCAUGCUGAUGACUGCUAACAAGCAGGCCCAAGAAGCAUUAUUUCCAACAUAGGAGACAUUAGAAAAUUUCAAAAAAAAAUUAUAUAAAAGCUAAUUUCAUUUCAGGAUAUCAAGAGGGAAGCUUUGAGAUACAGGGAUCAAGACUUUCAAGCUGAAUGGAAGUUAUCGAGAAAUCAGAAUUAAGAAGUCGCAAGCUGGUGAUGGAGUUGAAGAAAUGGUUGUUGUUCCAGAUCAACCAUCCGACACCACCAUAGUGGUGGGCUGACCAAAGUACAAGAGAAGCCUACACAAUACAAAACAUCUGAAAAUAGUACGAAGCUUUUGUAAGAUCCUAUUUCAGAAGCUUACAUGGUGGUGUUAAUUGGUUGAAAUACAUUUGGCUAGCGAAUCUAAACUUUGUUUUAGAUAAGUUAUGUUGUUUUGGUAUCUACAUGUUUCAAUGAAACAUCAUUGUUUACUAGGUUUAUUUGAUUUUAUUAAUGUAUCUAGGAGAUAUAAUUUUUUUAGAUUGUUAAAGCUCAAAGUGGAUGAAAUAAUUCUGGCUCAGGACCAUGGUUAUGUUUUA